AUACGUAGGGGGCGAGCGUUGUCCGGAAUGACUGGGCGUAAAGGGCGCGUAGGCGGCCAGACGAGUCUGGAGUGAAAGUCCCGCUUUCAAGGUGGGAAUGGCUUUGGAAACUGUCUGGCCUGAGUGUGGGAGAGGAUAGCGGAAUUCCCGGUGUAGCGGUGAAAUGCGUAGAGAUUAGGAGGAACACCAGUGGCGAAGGCGGCUUUCUGGACAGUAACUGACGCUGAGGCGCGAAGGCGUGGGGAUCAAACAGGAUUAGAUACCCUGGUAGUCCACGCAGUAAACGAUGAUUACUCGCUGUUUGCGAUACACAGUAAGCGGCUUAGCGAAAGCGUUAAGUAAUCCACCUGGGGAGUACGUUCGCAAGAAUGAA
rnacentral:rRNA from 1 species